rnacentral:rRNA from 1 species
GACGAACGCUGGCGGCGUGCUUAACACAUGCAAGUCGAACGGAAAGACCCUGCUUUUGUGGGGUGCUCGAGUGGCGAACGGGUGAGUAACACGUGAGUAACCUGCCCUUGACUUUGGGAUAACUUCAGGUAACUGGGGCUAAUACCGGAUAGGAGCUCCUGCUGCAUGGUGGGGGUUGGAAAGUUUCGGCGGUUGGGGAUGGACUCGCGGCUUAUCAGCUUGUUGGUGGGGUAGUGGCUUACCAAGGCUUUGACGGGUAGCCGGCCUGAGAGGGUGACCGGCCACAUUGGGACUGAGAUACGGCCCAGACUCCUACGGGAGGCAGCAGUGGGGAAUAUUGCACAAUGGGCGGAAGCCUGAUGCAGCAACGCCGCGUGCGGGAUGACGGCCUUCGGGUUGUAAACCGCUUUCGCCUGUGACGAAGCGUGAGUGACGGUAAUGGGUAAAGAAGCACCGGCUAACUACGUG